UCAACGUGGGCAUCUGGCGAGGUUGCGCUCGUCUAGCUCUGUCCGUGUUGCGUAUGGGAGCGUAGAUUUUUGGGUCAGUGAUGUACAGUCCUGUUCCAUUGGAGAGCAUGUGUGAACCUGGCUUUCGGGCUGGUGAGGACAGCACGCUGUAUAUUCCUAGACCACCUCGGUGUGUAAGGUGACUGAGGAGAUAAACCAUGCAUGGUACAGUU